UACGUAGGGACCGAGCGUUGUCCGGAAUUAUUGGGCGUAAAGAGCUCGUAGGCGGUCUGUUGCGUCGGCUGUGAAAACCCGGGGCUCAACUCCGGGCCUGCAGCCGAUACGGGCAGACUAGAGUUCGGCAGGGGAGACUGGAAUUCCUGGUGUAGCGGUGAAAUGCGCAGAUAUCAGGAGGAACACCGGUGGUGUAAACGGCUUUCUGGACCAUAACUGACGCUGAGGCACGAAAGCGUGGGUAGCAAACAGG
rnacentral:rRNA from 1 species